AUCUAGCUGGCUCAGUGGGAAGAGUGUGUGACUCUUGAUCUCAGGGUCAUGAGUUCAAGCCCCAUGUUGGGUG
rnacentral:tRNA from 1 species